UUCAAUUGCUUGUUCCCAUGACAAUUAAUAUCAAAGCUAGGCUUGACUAAGUUGAAGCGAAUCGAUGUCGGCAAAAAUAGGAAAAGUGAAAAUCAACAAAUUUGAUGGGAAUGAUUUUAGUUUAUGGAAGAUGCAAAUUGAGAAUUAUUUGUACCAUAUCAAUGCCAACUGAAUAAAAGAUUAAAAUUCAGCAUUGCUUUAUUGUGAACCCAAUUAGGACUGUAGGAGGGCUUGUGGUGUUAUGGAAUGAAGUGGUAUCAAUUAUGGUGAAUUCUUUCAUUUUGGAGUACGUUAAUAUUACAUGUAGAGAAGGGCAGAGGAAGAUAGUGAUG
rnacentral:lncRNA from 1 species